GUGAGUGUUACAGUUCUUAAAGAUGGUGUGUCCGAAAUUUGUUCCUUCAGAUGUUCAGAUGUGUCCGGAGUUUCUUCCUUCUGGUGGGUUCGUGACUUCAGGAGUGAAGCCGCAGACCUUCGCAGCUCCCUGGGAAGCAUUGAUCUUGGAUUUGGCUGCUGUGUGGGAGACCAGUGUUCCUCUUAGCUGAUGGUGGAGACUCACGUCAGUGCAGGCUGCAGUGAUGACUCUCAAACUGUGAACAAUGCUCCCCAGUGUGUGCACGGGAGGGCCAGCAUAUGGAGACCUUGCGGAGAGCCAAACGCGGGCUCUCUGCACUUCCUUCAGUUUUGUUUAAAUACAGGAUCCGGUUUGCCUUUGUCACCCCCUGUAGCACCACCAGGCUUCAUUCACUGUGAAGCCUUGCCAGAUCUCUGUAAUAAAUUACCUGGGAGGCCAAGGCGGGAAAAGAGGAAAGAACAAGCUGACCAUCAAGGCUGGACAUCCCUUUCAGUUCUUUUGAGAACAGACUAGUUGGCUAGAUGUGAAGAAAAACAAGCUUUGGAGUAAUCUUCCCUCUGCACAGCCUGUGAUAUUGGGAUCCAGUGAGUGACGGUGAGAGGUGGAGAUGUAUGAACGAGACCUGAGACGUUGGACCUGAACAUCACAGCAAUCACUUUUGCAGGGCUAAGAUUCAGGGCCAGCCGUCCAUGGAUUCUCCCGAGUUGGAUCGUCUUUCACACACCUGCUUCCUGAGGUUACAUCUCUUUUCCAGCCUAGGAGCAACCAAUAAAGAGCAGAGAGCAAAGAAAAGCAGACACACAAAUCAUCUCUAGACUAUGUCAAGGGUAUCCCCAA
rnacentral:lncRNA from 1 species